CUGGGUUGUUUUGUCAACCCAAGUGCUGAAUAACAGCUGUUGGGUAAACGUGUUGGGUUAUUCUAAUGCAGUGUUGGGUUACUCUAACUCAAUAUUGGUACAGUGGGGAACAUCUAUGCUACUCUACUGAUUGGGUUAUUAGUUAGGUUACACAAUAACCCAACUCACUGGUUUAUUGUACCCAACAUUGUGUUGCCCUGCUACGUUUGAAAUCAGAGUUCCCUGCAGAUAACGUUCUUUCUGCCUGCCCGCCCUGGAAGAAGUGAACUGACCGGAGUCUUCAACAAAAAUGAAGGUUUGUAAUGUGUUUUUACUGUUUUGUCUCCAGAUAACUUUAGUUAACUGCCUAAAGCUGAUAGAUGUGUAGUAGCCAUUCGUUCAUCCAACGCAUUCCUUAUCUUCCAUACGAUCGAUCUAUGAAGUAUGAACCCAUAGAAUAAGAAGACCGUUGCCCAAGGUAGUCACUACACAAACCUAAACCGUUGGUUACUCUCAAUGACAUAAACCAAUGGAAAUGGAGUCAACUAAUCUAAUCAUAAGAAACAUUGGAAUGAAUCUCGUCUCGAAACCAGAUGGGAUGAAUUUUAAUUUCACGAAACUCGCCUGCUGUAACUUCAAUCUGUGUCCAACCGUCUUUUGGUUUCCACGGUAACUCUCGACACAAAUAACUGGCCGCAGUGCCGCCGCGCUGAAGCUGGUCUCUCGGCGGGCAUUAUCAACUCUCUGCCGCGAGUUCGCGUGGAAUAAGUAGCACAAAUCAGCGCAAGUUAGAGAAAUUAAUAAUAACAACAACGGAAAAUACGGACGUGCCGUGUAUCCCUAUUCAGUUGGACUAUUGCCGCUGGCAUCUGCAGCUCUGCUCAAGGUAGGCUAGUUCAUGUCUGAUUGCAGCUAGUCUGUGUGGUUUUAGAACUAGCUUUUCAGAUAAGCCUGGACGUCCGCGAAGUGGGCUUCGAUAUACAGACAUGUCAGGACGGUUAACACUGUAUGUCAGCGAGCAUGGUAUAGCUACUACCUCUGGUUUAACAACAAUGUGGCUUUCUAUUUGCUAUAUGAUUGCAGCUAUGAAAAAAAGGAAGGAGACCUCCAGGACUGAACAGAGCUGUCACCUGUUGCAGUGCAGCGCACCGACUGACUGACGCUAUUUGCUUGGAUGUUGCUGAAAGAAAGGAGGCAUUCUUCAUUGUGCAGCACUAGCCUACUGUGGAGGCCGAGAGAGUUUUGACGAGGCUUCUGUACCCAG